rnacentral:rRNA from 1 species
UACGUAGGGGGCAAGCGUUAUCCGGAUUUACUGGGUGUAAAGGGAGCGUAGACGGCAUGGCAAGUCAGAUGUGAAAGCCCGGGGCUCAACCCCGGGACUGCAUUUGAAACUGUCAGGCUGGAGUGCAGGAGAGGUAAGCGGAAUUCCUAGUGUAGCGGUGAAAUGCGUAGAUAUUAGGAGGAACACCAGUGGCGAAGGCGGCUUACUGGACUGUAACUGACGUUGAGGCUCGAAAGCGUGGGGGGCAAACAGG